rnacentral:rRNA from 1 species
AUGAAUGGCGCCAAGGCUCACGGUCCCGCACCGCCCGCACGCCCAAGGCCGCCUCUGAAGGACGAGAUGGCGUCCUCUGCUGGUAAUGGCAAGGAGACGGCCGCGCUCGAGUCCGGCCAAGCGUCGUCGUCGUCCUCCUCCUCCUCCUCGCCGGCUGCUGCUGCGAAGAUGACGGCGGUGGCGGGGAAACCGCGCCCCUUCACCUGGACAGGGCCUGCCAUUGUUAUGGGCUUCGAGUUGCUGGAGAGCAUCGCCUUCUCCGGCGUUGCGCUGAACCUGGUCAUCUACCUGGGCACCGUGCUCCAUGGCACCACCGCCUUCAACGCCGCCCACGUCGACACCUGGAACGGGACCACCUUCAUCGUCCCCGUCCUCGUCGCCUUCCUCGCCGACAGCUGCUGGGGCAAAUACAACACCAUCGUCGUCUCGCUCCUCUUCUACCUCGCCGGCCUCGUGCUGCUCACCCUGUCCGCGGCGAUCUCGCCCUUCCGGCCGUCGUCGUGCCAGGGGCUCUCGUGUCCGCCGGCCUCACGGACCCAGUUCUCGGUCUUCUUCGCGGCGCUGUACCUGACCUCCAUCGGCACGGGGGGCGUCAAGUCGGCGCUCCUCCCGUUCGGGGCGGAACAGUACGACGACAGCAGCCCGGAGGAGAGUCGGAGGAAGCAGUCCUUCUUCACCUGGUUCUUCGGCGCCAUCAACCUGGGCAUCUUCGUCGCCGGGACGCUCGUGUCCUGGCUGCAGCAGAACGUGUCCUGGGCGCUCGGCUUCGGCGUCUCCGCGCUCUGCCUGCUCCUGGCGGCCGCGGGCUUCCUGGCCGGCACGCCCUGGUACAGGGUGCAGCUCCCCGCCGGUAGCCCGCUCAGGGACAUCCUCAGGGUGGUGGUGGCGUCCGUGAAGAAGAGGAAGACCAGGCUGCCUGCAGCUGCGGGUCAAGGUGACCUUGGCCUGCACGAGGUGGCGGAAGACGACGACCUGCAGAAGCUGGUGCACACCAAAGGGCUCAGGUGUCUGGACAAGGCCGCGGCGAAGGGCGGCGACGGCCACGAAGGCCCGUGGAAUCUGUGUACCGUGAGCGAGGUGGAGGCCGUGAAGAUCCUGGCACGCAUGGUGCCCAUCUGGGUGACGUGCGUGCUGUACGCGGCGUCCCUGGGGCAGAUGACUACCACCUUCAUCCAGCAGGGGAUGACCAUGGACAACAAGCUGCUCGGGAAGGUGAAGGUGCCGGUGGCGUCGAUGGUGUCGAUCGAGGUGGUGUUCAUGCUGCUGUGGGUGCUUCUGCACGACGCCGUCAUCAUGCCGCUCGCCCGGAAGUGGGGCCGAGCCGGGAGCGCCGGGCUGUCCCAGCUGCAGCGGAUGGGCGUGGGGAGGGUCCUGGUGGUUCUGGCCAUGGCGACGGCGGCGCUGGUGGAGAGCCGGCGGCUGCGCGUGGCCGGCGCGGGCAGGAAGAUGGGCAUCGCGUGGCAGGUGCCGCAGUUCGUGCUGGUGGCCGGGUCGGACGUGUUCUGCGGGAUCGCGCAGCUGGAGUUCUUCUACGGGGAGGCGCCGGCGUCGAUGCGCAGCAUCUGCUCCGCCUUCUCCUUCCUCGCGCUGUCGCUGGGGUUCUACGUCAACUCGGUGGUGGUGACGGCGGUGGCGGCGUUGAGGCCCGGGUGGCUGACGCGCGACCUCAACGAGGGGCACCUGGAUUACUACUUCUGGCUGUGGGCCGUCAUCAGCGCCGGUAACCUGCUGCUCUACCUGCUGCUUGCCGCCCGGUACACGCCCAAACAAGUCCUCCGCCACUCGCCAUCGCCAUAG